CCCUCUUAAUCGUGGGAUUUAUCAAUGAUUAUGUCUCUGCUUGUGAACGUACACACUUGGCUUUCCAAACACCCCCUUUUCUCCAAACCACUCAUCCCAACGGCGACCCUGUUGGAAACGGGGAGCCAAGAGGAACUAGGGCUCGGGUCACGGUAGGGAGGACCUCUUCCAAGAUUAAAGCCCUUCUGAAGAGCCACCUCUGCAAGCCUCUGUGCCUGACUUGCCCGGGACUCGGCAGGAAAAGCCCCCCACCCCCAGUCCCUGACUGUGAUUCUUCUUCUGUAAAGUUUCAACCUGAUAUUUUCCUUGGCACAGAGUCAUCGGAGAAGGAGAAGAGCGCUGCAAAAGGAUGCCAGAUUGAAGAGAGGGGAUUGCAACAAUGUCUGAGUGAGGGGCUUAGGAAAAUCCCCCCCGGAUUCUUUAAUAGAGACAUAGGAAGAAGGAAUUAAGGCAGUCUUAUAUCCUUUCCUAAAGUCUGGAGUGAUGUUAUGGGGCCUUGCAUCCAAGUCUG